AAUCGCAGAUCAGCAUGCUGUGGUGAAUACGUUCCCGGGCCUUGUACACACCGCCCGUCGCACCAUGGGAGUCGGUAACACCCAAAGUUGGUAGUCUAACCGCAAGGAGGACGCCGCCUAAGGUGGGAUUGAUGACUGGGGUGAAGUCGUAACAAGGUACC
rnacentral:rRNA from 1 species